rnacentral:rRNA from 1 species
UACGAAGGGGGCUAGCGUUGCUCGGAAUCACUGGGCGUAAAGGGUGCGUAGGCGGGUUGUUAAGUCAGGGGUGAAAUCCUGGAGCUCAACUCCAGAACUGCCUUUGAUACUGGCAACCUAGAGACUGGAAGAGGUUAGUGGAAUUCCCAGUGUAGAGGUGAAAUUCGUAGAUAUUGGGAAGAACACCAGUGGCGAAGGCGGCUAACUGGUCCAGCACUGACGCUGAGGUGCGAAAGCGUGGGGAGCAAACAGG